GGACUACUGGGGUAUCUAAUCCUGUUUGCUCCCCACGCUUUCGCACCUCAGCGUCAGUUACGGGCCAGUGAGCCGCCUUCGCCACUGGUGUUCUUCCCAAUAUCUACGAAUUUCACCUCUACACUGGGAAUUCCACUCACCUCUCCCGCACUCGAGACUGCCAGUAUCGGAGGCAAUUCUGAGGUUGAGCCCCAGGAUUUCACCCCCGACUUAACAGUCCGCCUACGUGCGCUUUACGCCCAGUAAUUCCGAACAACGCUAGCCCCCUCCGUAUUACCGCGGCUGCUGGCAC
rnacentral:rRNA from 1 species